rnacentral:lncRNA from 10 species
GACAAUUUCAAAGAUGUGCAAAGAUUUCUCAAUGAUAAUUCUAAGAUCUGACUGAUCUGGGGAAUGCUGACAUCCUUUCAAGCUCUCACUCUGGGAGAAGCAAGCUACCACGUUGUGAAAAGCCCUAUGGAGAGGCCCACAUGAUGAGGAACUGAAGCUUUCAGCCACCAGCCAGGGAGGAAUGGAGCCCUGUCAGCAACCAUAGGAAUGAACUUGGAAGCAGAUUCACCAGCAACAGCCUAGCUCUGGUCAACAGCUCUAACAGCCUCAUGAGAGACCUGGUAGCAGAACCAUGCAGAUAUGCUGCUUUUUGAUUCCUCAGAAACUGUGAGAGAAAAUAAAUGUUUGUUUUUUAAAACUGCA